rnacentral:rRNA from 1 species
AUGACACAGGAAAACCACUUGGCAAUGAAAAGCUCGGGGCACCUGUUCAAUGAGUGGGAGAUCCGGCUAUUGGUGCUUCUUAGCUUCACAAUGCAGCUUUUUCUUUUCUUUGUUGGUGGCCUCCGGCGGCGUAUCACUAACAGCGCCCUCAGAUUUUCAAUCUGGCUAGCUUAUGUGGGAGCAGACAUGGUAGCUGUUUAUGUCCUAGGCCUCAUCUCUCGCGUGCACCUGGAUGCCACCACGGAAAAUCAUCAUCACCUGGCUUUUCUUUGGGCACCCUUCCUCCUCAUACAUCUCGGCGGACAAGAUACCGUCACUGCUUUCGCCAUUGAGGACAUCAGCCUCUGGCUGAGGCACUUGUUGAACCUUGUUGUCCAAGUCUCCCUCACCCUGUACAUCUUUUGGAAAUCGACCAAUGGUCUGAAUAUACAGGAGCUUCUUCUUCUUCCAACCAUCCUCCUGUUUGUUUCGGGAAUGAUCAAGUAUGGGGAGAGGACAUGGGCUUUGUGUUGUGGCAGCCUCAUAAACAUCGCAGAGUUCCCUAUCCCACAAUAUCUGACAGAUUUAGACAAGAUCCAUGUGGGUUCUACUACUUCUUCCUAUUCUGGCCUUGUUUCCAAGGCUUUGUUUUCCAUAAAAGAGGUCCGUUGGAUUUUUUCUAGUUACAGUCCUUUGGGAACAGAUCUCAGCAUGAAUUCAGAUCUACUACUUCCAGACUAUGCAGGCAAGUUAUUUGAGACCAUGGAGAUUGAACUCGGGCUGAUGUUCGACGACAUCUAUACCAAGGCGCAGGUGCUUCGAACAUGGGGUGGCAUCAUACUUCGGUGUCUCUCAGAUAUUUCCUUCUUAGCUGCUUUUGUGCUCUUCUCUGUAAGAAACAAGGAGAGAUACAAUACCGUUGACACUGCAAUCACCUAUGUACUGUUUAUCGGCGGUUUCUCUCUGGAGGUUUUUGCGGUAUUUACCGCCAUGGUGUCACCAUGGAUUUGGGCAUGGCUAAAGACGCGGCACUGCAGCUUCCUUUCCUCCAUCAGCAUUAGCUGGCAGAGGAAGAGGGUGCUGUGGUCAAAAUCCAUGGGUCAGUACAGCCUGUUGAACUACCUGGGACAGUGCGACCAGCAGUCAAGUAAAGUGAUGGCGGUGGUCAGAAGAUUGGUGAAUGCAGUUUGCGGGCGAAAGCAGAAGCUCUGGGUCAGUAAGCUGUUGGACACCAAGUUCGUGGAGGUCGACGAGAAGGUCAUGAGAUGCAUUGUGGAGAGGAUCAAGCAGUAUCAGUCUACAGAUGAAUCGAGCAUGCUCCCACAAUGGCCAAAUCUUGCUCCACUGCUUCAAAGGUCACUGCGGGUUCCCGAGGCGGAUUUUCAUUUCCCGGUUCUCGUCCUCCAUAUAUACACGGAGGUAAUGCUGAGCAGGUAUGCUCCCACCGCUACUCCGGAUGGUGGUUUGGACCGCGUGUGCCGGACGAUAUCCAACUACAUGGUUUACCUUUGUGCCACGCACCAUGAAAUGCUGUCGGUCCAAAACAGUUCCAACCAAAGUGACCUAGCAUACAUCCUUCACAGAUUGUUUAGCGUGGGGACUAAUGCUGACAUCAGUAACAUCAUGCCUAAGGCGGUUGGGUUCUUGAUCGAUUGCCGUUUUCCGGUGCCCCCGAAGGUGUGUACAGAAGCACAUCUGUUGGAAAUCCGAGAUGCAUGGGUAGGGUUCCUCCUCCAUGCCGCCAGCAAGUCACGGCCGGAGAUGCAUGCGGCGCAGCUGGCCAGAGGAGGGGAGUUCCUCACCUUCGUUUGGCUGCUCAUGGCCCACUGCAAUCUCGGGAACUCUAGGGGCUGCCCAAUCGGGUUGCUACCUAUAAGUGGUGAUGUUCAGUGGCGCUGUGUCUUCCAUAUUCGCCCUCCACCACAAUCCUCAUAG